CUUCACCUCCUUUAAAUCACUGUUUUUCUCCGAGAGCAGCAUCGUGGUGAGAGCUUGUGACCCGAACUUGGCAGCGUUGUGCUGAUUCACGCCGGCUUGUCACCAAAACUGCCUAAAACCGACAGAAAAAGGGACGCUGACUCAUGUGUUUGCCUUCUGCGAGCGGGGAGAAAUGUGAAAGGUGAGCAAAGUACUUAACAGGUGAUAAUUACAUUCAGCGCUCUAUUCAAUUCAUAUUCAUGAGCUGGAAUGUUAUUACUAAAGAGGCCUUUUACAAUUAAGAGGGGAAAAAAGAGAAGUAUUUUAAGGUUUUUAGCCUUGACAGUGACCUUUUAACAACAAGUGUAAGGAAACCCCUCAUUUUGUCCCACUCAUGCUCAUAAAUCUGUGUUAAGGAGAAACUUCAGCUGCUGCCUUCCUGGUCUCCUUGCAGGUAUUCUGGUGGGUGCUUCCUCGUCUUUAUCCUGUUAUACAGUGGGAUGAAACCCACCAUGGGAUGGGGUGGGAUGUGGCAUGAGGAGCUGAGGAGCCAGCCCCUCGGUGGGAAAGCUCUUGGUGUUGCUCUCCAGGGCAGGUGUAGUGAGAGAAAGGACUCAGAGAGGGUCCACCUUAAUGCAGGAUGAAAAAGCAAAUUGCCAGCAGGAGAGCAGAGAUGCUGUUCUGUUACUAUGGUUACCCCAGAGACAACUGAGCAUCCCUGGGUAUCGCCCUGCGGUACCCGAGCUGCUCCCGGCCACCCGGAAUGGUGCUGGGGCAAGUCAGGUGGGCAAGGGAACAAGUUUGGAAGGGUUUGUGGGGUCUGAGCUUCUUGAAGCAGCCAGGAGAGAGGAUGCAUCCAGGAUGGGUAGAGGAGCAGCAUCUCCAGCGGGGCUGGGGCAAAGUUCCCACCUCUACCCCUCUGAGAUGUGGUGCAAGGCCUUUGCAGGGCUGAUUUGAUAGGAGACACUGGGGAUUUGGUUCAGAGAGUGGCACCAAUCCACACCAGUUCAGGAGUCAGACCAAUGUGGUGCCCUCCCUGCAUGGCACCAAGACGCAGCAAGCCCUGCCCCAGGGCGCACAGCACAGCACAUAACCGCAUUCCAGCUCUAUCCUGGUGGGAAUCCAGAGCUCACAGCCCCUCUGCCCACUGCCUGCCUGGUCAAGAGGGAUUGGCCCGCCCAGAUUUUGGUGGUGAUGUGUUUGAGCCAAACACAUGCAAACUGAUGAAAAGACACUGCUUUUGGGGAGGCCAAAACCUCUGCAAGGGCACACAGAGAUGCCCUGGUCCUCUGAAGCCAAAAGGGAAGAGGCAAGGGCUGGUGAAAUGCUGAGUUUAGAGAGGAUUUUAGCAUUUAAAGACAUUUUGAGUAUUAAAAGUGGAGUUGCCAGCCAAUAAUAGCCCCAACCUCAGCCCAUUGGCUCAGCAUUCCUGCCGAAAGCACCCUGGCCAUGCCUGUGAGGGGUAAGAAAGGUCCUUCCCUGCAGAGGCAGCCGCUGCCUUCCCAUCCCCACUGCUCCUGGCCACCACCACAGCCUGUUAGUUUAGCUCUAAACCCCGAAGACAAGGAUGGUCAGAGUGCAAAUAAAGCAAGGACUGAACAUCCUGAUAGCACUUUUUCCCUGGUGUCAGCACCAGCUCAGCUCCCUGGGGAUUUCUGCUACAAGAGCCACUGAGGGAGGAAUUCUGGAGGCAGUGGAAGCAGUCCCUGGGGAGCUGCUGGCUUAUCAUUAAAUGCUUCCACAAUGAAGCGAUGGGUUUUGUAGUGCAAACUGCUGCGUGAAGAGUCACUGCCAAUGGCAAAGCAAAUGGCACAGCAGCUUUGGGAAGCUGCUGCACGGGCCGGUGCUUGUCCCCAGGAGAGAUGCUGGCUGUCACAGCUCUGUAUAAGCAUCCCCUGCACUCUCCCUGGCAUUUUCCUCUCCCACAUCCAGCCCAUGUUUUGGAGGUUUUUCCCAUCUCAUCUUCUGUAACAGGCCAUUACAUUCCCCAAUAAACCCCGCUCCUCUCCUCAGCAAGAGGAAAGCUUCCAGAAAGCAUCUGGUCCAGAUUUAAAGGCAUUAAGGGACAGAGAUUGGUAGCUUGUUCUAAUAGCUAAUCAUUAUUAAAAGAUCGCUCCUUAUUUCCAAGAUAGAUUUGUCUGGCUUCAGCUUCCAGGAAGAGGUGGUUAUUAUGCCUUUCCCUGGUAGAUUAAGUUACUUCUUUGUACCAGUGUAUUCUCCCCAUGACAAAUGCUGUAAUCAAGUCACCUCUCAGUCUCCCCCUCUGAUAAAUUAAACGUGCUGUGCUCUUCAAUCAUGCUUAACCCUGGCCCUGUCUUUGGUGAUUAGAGUGAGUGGAUGGCAGUGAUUUUUUUUUAAUGAGUAAAAAACACCCUUAUGGGGUAAGGGACGGAGCUGAUGGGACCCAACUGACCGUCACUGAUGGGUGGAAGCUGUCGGUAACUGGUUGCCUGACCCGGAUUCAGAUCCACGAGCAGCCUGAGAAAUGAUGCCAAAUGAUUCCCCCAGGUUAUCUUGGUACACAAUCCUCAUUUCCAGGUGCAAAAGCCAAGAGGAAUAUCCAGGAUGGCAAAGCCAUGGGCUCUGUGUCCACCAGCCCAUUAACCUCUCUGUAAAUAGCAUCCCAGACACUUGCUCUGCUUUCCUUCGGCCAUGACAUGCCAUUAAAGACAUUUAAACUGUCACUUGGACAGGGCGUGAUGUCCCCUGAGGUCCCCAAGGUGACAACCAUAGGAAAUAGAUCCUGAUGGAGCCCAAGGGGGACCAAGGUCACUCUGGAAAGAUUUGUUGGGGCAGUUUUGGAUGACUGGCCUCUUCCUGCCUGGGCUCCAGGCACGUUUUCCCAUCUCCGGGCUCCCUGCAUGGCUGAGCUGCUGCGAUCCGGUCCCCUGGCAAAAGCCCAUCAGUGCAGCAGAGCAAAUGGUACCCACACUAUGGGGCUGAGCAGGGACCCUGCAGAGCCCCCGUCUCACCGAGCAUCCCUGCAGCACCUUCAGCAGAGAGAUAAAGCUAUCCUCACCUGCAGGAUAACAAGGAACGUAUGGAUGUGGGGUUCCUGCUCCUACCUAGAGGCUCCUACCUAGAGGCAGCAGGAUGGACAUUAGCUAAAAGGCUCCUAAAAUAUCUCUGUUUGUCCCUCUGGCCCCCGGUCUUGCUCCAAGUUUUCUGCAUAUAUAUAUUAUAUGUGGGACAACUGAGAGGCUUGAAACCACGUCUGAAGUUUGCUCCAGGCAGACACUUCCCUGUGAUCUUUAAAAUAUACAGCAUGACGCGAAGUGUUUUAAAUAGAUCAAAAUACAUUUAUUACAUAUUUAUAUUAUUUUCUCUAGUCUAUUUAUAUCUUUUGGAGACUCUUAUAUAUAAUAUAUAUAUAAUAUAUUUAAAAUAACAUAAAAUUGGCCAGUUUUGUCAUCUGAAAUACAUUUUACAAAUAUAUAUAUACAUUGACACAUAUAUCUCAAAUAUAUGUGCAAUGAGACAGAGAAACACCAGAGGUGGAAAAGGUACAGAUACUUCAUUGCAUCCAUCAGCUCAUCUAUUGCUGCACAUCACCAUCGCCCCAGUGACUCGGCGUUUUACCCCUGGGAAACCAGUGCUCCCAGUUGCCGACCUGCCCAUGUGAACUGGUGCUGGAUCUCGGUCCCCAAACCACAUGGGGCCAAGCCUGGGGGAGCACCAGGGUGUUUUGAGGGAGGAUGGAGGAAUGAUGGAGCCCCAGGAGCGGGACAGAUGUGCACAGCUGGCAGGCACCGGGGCUCAGCAAUGGGUGGCAUCAGGUUGGGCGCUGUCCUAUGUCCCCUCCCUGCUCAUAACACAGCCAGAUCCUGCCCUGCUCCAACCCCACCAUGGCAGCAUUCCUGAAUUGGGGGAGGUGGGAGAGCAGGAUCGAGCCGGAUCGCCAGACCUGGCUGCCGCACACUCAAUGUGAAAGAAAUGGAAGUGGGGGGGGGGGAAAACACACUGGGGAUUCUUUUGGUUGUCAGCACGAGAGGAAAGGAAAGAGCAGGAGGGUUUAAAAAUAACCAUAUUUGUUCUGCCUUAUUAAAGAUAGAAAAGGUGGCUCUGGAUUCAUCUCCUACAAAAGGUUUGAAGGUCAAGCAGGCACCCAAUCGCGAAAGGUUAAGCACUAAGUGAUUGUCCCAGCCCUAAAAGAAGACUAAGUGCACUAAAUUCGGUUAUGAGAAGCUAAGGCUCAUCCCAACGGCGCCCGGCCCCAGGGACCCUCUGCCCGGGUCUCCCAUGGGCAGAGGAUGCUUUUCCCAUCCAGAGGGUUUGGAGCACAGGGAUGCAGCCGCUUUCUGCUCUCACCGGUGUAUUUUGGGGGGGUGAAGCCAAGUGGGAGCAGCAGCGGGUCCAGCCCCAGGUCCCUGGCCAGGGUGGUGGCUGCUGCUGGAGGCUGCUCCAAGGCCCAGCCGAGGGCAAUCCCUAUGGGAUGCUGGCCAAGAGGAUUAGCGGCUCUUGCCUUUCUCGGACUCCUGCCAUCUUCCAAGGAUCAAGCGUAAUGCUGGAGUUAACUCCAUGGAUGGAGCGGCCUUGGCUUGGAGGAAAUGGCUGAUGGCUGGUUUGGGGGGAACAUGUCCCCUCACUCGGCUCUAAUCCCCUUCCCACUGGGAUCCCGCUCCAUCCCUGGGGUGACCAGUGCCAAACCCCACACCCUGAGCGCAUCCCUGUGCCUUUCCAACCCCUCAUUGGAACCCAAGUGCCAAACAAACACCACUUUGGGGCUUUUUUUACCCCACCUCCUCUUACUUGAACAAUCCAUGUGAUUCAAACUCCCCCUGGGCAGCCGCCCCAAUGCUCCCUGAUGGUAAGAAAAAAGACCAGUAGCUCAGAGCACUCACAGGUAGGCAAAAAUAAUAUUUAUACACUAUGUACCAGCGUGGUCCAUGGCCAGGACGAGGACUAUACAGUAUAUAUAUGACAACUCGCCAGAGCUAGAUCCUCACUAGUGGGGAAUGGGGAAGGGGGUAUGUGAACAGGGGCCGGGAAGGGUCCAAACCCCCCAUCCAUGGGCACUUCCCAGCCCGGUUCACAUCUUCCUACGCAGCAGUUUAAAAAUACAUCUGUAUAUAUUAUUCUAUUCUCCCAGGUAACACUGUACAGUCAUAGAAGUUUCUUUAAAAGCAAUAAUUUACUUAAAGACAUCUCUAUUUUUUCUUUCUUUUGUUUUAUACAAAUAUUUACUGUGAUAUAUAUAUAUUUAUAAAGAAAGUAACCCUCUGAGAACCCUACAGCAGCAAGAUGUGCACCUUUUGUUUUUAUAAUAAUAAGUAUUUAUUCAAAAGAACCUAAACCACUUAAAAGCAUCUUCUUAAAAAAAUAAAUAAGUAGUGCGCACACACAAUCUCUCUGCCCCCCUCUUCCAUCCAUCCCACCCCCUAUGGAUGCUAUGGUGCAAAGAGCAGGUAGUAAAACCAUCCCCCUGGGAGCAAAGGAAUUGGUGAUGGGAUGGCAUCCGCGUUCCCUGCCUUAGAAACACAUAUAUUGUGGCCAGAGCUCAAUGGCAUGUCCCUAUGUGUCCCUGCUUUUGGGGCUCCCAGUGCUGCCCCCGGGGAUGUUUUCUCCCAGUGGCUGGUUUUUAGGGCAGCCCCAUGGUGGGCAGUGUGGGAUGGUGGUGAUGAACGCUGGUGGGAACUGCAGGGAUGAUGUACUGGUCCCCUUCCCACAGCCAAAUGGUGAGACACGAUGCUUGGGGACACAGGGAAGUGGGGGCACUGGGGAAGCUGCUCCCCAGGGCCCUUUACAAGAUGGAGAUGAGGACACAGGACAAAUCUUGCCUUUGCCACCGAGGUUUGGACAUGCCACAGCAAGUUAUAAUGCCAGGACACGGCUUCCCUGAUGUGGGCCUUGGGGAGACAAGCACCGGGAGCCUGUGACAGCCAAAACACUGCCAGGGACCCUGCUCUCAACACCUUCUCCCCAAGGAUAGGUGCUGUUGGGCUCCACACCCAGCGUUGGGUGCAGGAUGCCUGCAGAUACCAAAGCCUUUCCCACAGCCACGGGGAGCAGGGAGCCAGAUUUUGGCUCCUAGAGCACCAAUGAGCAGCACAGCUGGGACGGAGGGAACACAACCUGCCUAUUCCCAACUCCUUCCCUCUUGCAAAGGCAGGGAACAGGGCAGGAGCAGGGGCUUCCCAUGCAUGGGGUUGCUUUGCUUUGUGCCGUAGCAAAAGCUAAACCAGCGUGCCACCAAGGCCAGCCUAAAACACAGCAGACAGUGGGAUGAGGGCACUGCCACAGAGGCAGAGCCAAGGGGACAUCACCCUGGGGAGGGAUGCAAGCAGGGAAGCAGGAUACCGCGGAGGAGGGCUGGGUGCGGGAUGAGUUUGCAUCUCUAAGGCACAAUCCACCUCAAGGCUGGGACGCAGGGACGGGUUGAAGUGCUAGACAGGGUGGUUGUUUAUGACUGGCAUCAGUUGGUUUAGGAAAAGCAUCUACCUCUGAAGCAGGACUCUCCGGUGAAUGGGGAAUUCACAGAUCCCAGCCUGGCACAGGGACAGCUCCUGUGCUAGGAGAAGUGCAACCCAACAAGACUUUCACAUUGGCUGCCACAUUUGAAAUGAUUUUUUUCAAAGGAGAAAACACCAAAUUGGUCAGAAAAGUGGGGAAAUACCCAACUUUGAGAGCUUUCCACUCUCCUUUUUUGUGCUUUUCACUGUUUUGUCCCAGUUACGGCAAAACUCAUGAAUUCCCCAUCGGAGAUGCUGGGGGAGACCCAACGCUUCAGCAGCUGAUGCCCCACACCCCAUUUCCACCCUGAAGAUCAGCAUGUCCUGAAACUGGCUAAUCACUGUGUUUGCAAUGCUGCUUUCUGCCUGGUUUUAACUUUGCUUUGCCAGUCAUUAUGCUACUUGCUUUCACUGCCACGGACCUCCAGCCACUUACAUCUGUUUUCUAUCUAGAAAGCCAUUGCCAGUGGCAAAAAAACCACCCCAAAAUUGGAUGCAGUCUUGACUUCUAGCUCUUGAAUCUGCCCAGCAAGUCACCCCCUCAAAGGACCCCGGUGGCUUAUUCAUUCCCUAGUUCAUUUGUAUAAAAUACUGGAUGACUUCUUUCAGAUUUAAUAUUAAUAUUAUUAUUAUUGUUAUUAUUAUUAUUAUAAUUUUGGUAAACAGUCUCCCAAACAGUUUCAGUGAAAAAAUUAAAAACCCUCUCACCUCUCACUCCCUCCCUUUUAUUCCCCAAAUUAAAAAGCAGUACAUUAAUGUUGCAUGGUAUUUCAAGUGUUGUUCUUGUGCAACUGAACCAGACCGCCUGUUGGAAGAAGCAAUUUUGUUGUUGUUGUUGCUGCUCAGUUAAAAAAGGAAAGGAAAAAAAAAGUAAAAUAAAGAGAAAGAUUUGUUUCCUGAUAA
rnacentral:lncRNA from 1 species